UCAGAGGGAAGAAUAUAAAUCAUUUUUUCCCAUUUAUCUCCUUAAAUAUUAUAAGAUGCUCCUGGUAUGUAUCUGCUUCGUGAACAUUGAAGAUCUUUUUCUAGGUCCUCCACAGCCUGUGAAUCCCCCUAGACCUUUCAAGCAUAGUGAGCGGAGAAGAAGAUCUCAGCGUUUAGCCACCUUACCCAUGCCUGAUGAUUCUGUAGAAAAGGUUUCUUCUCCCUCUCCAGCCACUGAUGGGAAAGUAUUCUCCAUCAGUUCUCAAAAUCAGCAAGAAUCUUCAGUACCAGAGGUGCCUGAUGUUGCACAUUUGCCACUUGAGAAGCUGGGACCCUGUCUCCCUCUUGACUUAAGUCGUGGUUCAGAAGUUACAGCACCAGUAGCCUCAGAUUCCUCUUACCAUAAUGAAUGUCCCAGGGCAGAAAAAGAGGAUACACAGAUGCUUCCAAAUCCUUCUUCCAAAGCAAUAGCUGAUGGAAGAGGAGCUCCAGCAGCAGCAGGAAUAUCGAAAACAGAAAAAAAAAUGAAAUUGGAAGAAAAAAGCUCAACAGCAU
rnacentral:sRNA from 1 species